GGCAUCAACAUGAAACAAUCCAAAUAUUAACUAUUUAGCAUGGGAGCGACGAGUAGCUUGUCAUCAUGUAUCGGAUAAUACUUGCUUAUCCCGAAUUAUUUUUAUCAAAUUUAGGUGUAGUCCCAUUAAAGAAUCUUUACAAGAACAUGCAAAGAAGAACACGACAUUAAAGAAUUGCAGAAGGUUGGAGAACCAUCAUAGGAACAUUUUGAUACGGAUGGAACGCAGCAAGAGGAAAUCACAAGCAAAGAAAUGAGUAAAGUGUCUUUAACAAAGAAUGCGGUGGAUCACAAUCCAGGAUACAAACUCAGAGGAAAAACGCUCUUAAAGAAGUCACGAACAUAAGACAAGAUAGUUACAGGUUUAUAUAACUUAAGAUAUUUUUUCCGACCACCAGAAAGAAUGUACCAAAAUUUUACAUAAAGGAAUAGUUGAUCUUACAAAUCUGCGAGAAUCACGUCGUCAAACUUAAACUAACAAAACAUCAAGGAGAGGAACAGAGCAUUGUCGUGAGACGACGGAAUUGUUUUCUAAUACUCCGGCUCGUAUCCAAUUGAUAGACACUUUUGUUUACGUCAAUCAUUGUUAAAAAUUCCGACUGAAAAACACUUUUCCAAACCCUGUUGAUAUCAACCUCGCGUUCAUCGUUUUGAAGUCUGAGCCUGACAAAAAUGGUCGAAUUCGUGCAAAAUGCUCCUAUUAAAUAGCUGACAAAUUUUAUUCGGUGUGAUCACAGAGUGAAAUAUUGCCGCCACAAAAUAAUGCAGCGAAGCAUGUUAUCAAAACAUGUGAAAACAUACAAGGAUUGCCUGUUCUGCUGUGUUGCUUUGUGGCGGUAAUAUUUCGCUCUAUGAUUGCACCGAAAAAUAUUGCGUACGCUAUUUAUUGGGAGUGUUUUGCACAAAUCUAGAAAUCAAUUCGCUCUGUGGUUAUUUUAGUUGAAAUUUUAUGACAUUCAUUGAGGAACUUUGACGUAAAAAGGCUUUAAAAAGAUUGCAACUGAACUGUUUGUUUCAUCAAAUUAUUUCUUUCAUAAGAAGUCAAGAUCUUCAAGUAUUCGUUUCAAAGAGAAAGUAUUCAUCAAUCCCAAAUCGUUUUCAAACUUUAGUGACUAGAUUUUUAGUGGUGUUUGUUUCUAUUUACAAGCGGUCUUUAGACUUGACAAUUUAGCUUGUGAAGCAGCAGUAUUCGCUAAUUUUUUUUUUUCCUAUUUUCGCCUUAGUUAUUUUUCUAUUGAUACUUGAAUACGGGUAUUUAAAAUAUCCAGAUUUCACGACUUAAAAUUAUUGUAUA